CCCUUAGAUGUUCUGGGCCGCACGCGCGCUACACUGAUACAUGCAACGAGUUUAUAACCUUGAUCUGACGGUCUGGGUAAUCUUCAAACUGUAUCGUGUUAGGGAUCGAUUCUUGCAAUUUUUAAUCGUAAACGAGGAAUUCCUAGUAAACGCAAGUCAUCAGCUUGCAUUGAUUACGUCCCUACCCUUUGUACACACCGCCCGUCGACUCUACCGAUUGAAUGGUUCGGUGAAAACUUUGGACUGUGGCAUUGUCCUUCAUUGGACUUCGCCGUAGGAAAUUGUUUAAACCUCAUCAUUUAGAGGAAGAAUAAGUCGUANCA
rnacentral:rRNA from 1 species